AUGAGUGUGGAGAGAAAAGGCUUCGUGGAGAGAGGCAAGAGGGCUUAAUCCGGUUUUCUGAGAAUGUGUGAGGCAACCCCAGAGGAGGAGAGAGAAUUCUGAAUAAGUCUUUUGGCUGAAUGAGAAAGGGUUAAAGCCCUCCCUAUGCCCUGGUACUUUCGGCAAGAGGAAAGGGUUAGGCACCGGCUCGUCUACCAGUCCAGAGCCCCUCUUCAGAGCCCAGGCCUCCAACGGCUCGGAAGUGAUCCCAGAGGUGGGGCAGGUCACGCAGCUCUCCCCCAGCCUUGGGUAAAGCCAGGCUGGCUCUCUUGGCCUGAGGUCAGCUCCCUCCUGGACUGGACUCCCUGGUGGUCAAUUCUCAGCCCGAUCAAAGGCUACGGCAAAAAUGUGUUCAUGCCAUUAAAUCCACCCAGACGGUUGGUCAGGCAUCUCCUGGGGGAUACUGCCCAUGCGUGUGUGCAGCACACACACACACAUACACACAUGUGCACUGGCUCUCUGAGUCUUGUGUUGUAACAAGGAAGAAGGAAAUAUGGAUGAAACAUUUCUCACUCAAGGAACUAGCUGAGACCCAGUGAGAGCUUUGUGGAGGCCAUCAAUCACGUCGCCUUCUUCGCUGGCCGUGCAUAAGAACUCCAUUAUGGCUGUGCUGUUUUUAAGGUCGGGGUCACGUUGAAGUGCAGAGUCCAGCAGCGCCUCGGUUCUUGGCCCCCUUCUGCCCGGUGACCUUCCUGUAUCCCAUGGCCACACCAGACCUUAGCAACUUGAAGAACUCAGCCUGAUAUGCUGCCAGACACCACUCCCAGUCACGAGCCUCCACCCUCCCUGUCCUUAGUGCCUCCGCACGGAUGGUGACAAGUCCAGGCCUCAUUUCACAGUCAUGUGUACAGGUGUUGAAGGACCUGGGGAUGAAGGAUUCACCUGCGGCUCAGGAAACCCUUCAGUAGACCCAUCAUCAGCCCCUCUGGACCACAAGACUUCACCUAAAGUAACUGAGCUCUAGUCCCUUAAUUUAACAAAAAGACUGUCAAAUGCCACCCUUCUGAAGCAACUGAAUCGAACAUGGAAAAUCAUGAAACGAACCAACUUGGCUGUGGCCCAAGUUCACCCAUGCUCUUGUUGGAGGUGGUCUAUCUGAGUCUCCUGUGUCUCUUACUUACCAGGGGCCCCAUGUCGGGGGUUUGGAAGGGCAGACAGGAUGACAAGCAUUUAGAGGAACCCCAAACGGUUCUUUAUGCUGAGACUUCCCAAAUGGGGUAAUGACAGGCUCCAUUAUCUUGAUAAGAGUUUCUUUUGGACACUGUCCAGUUUCCUUGUUCUCAUUCUUUGUUCCCCAAGCAAACUACUGGCAUAUAAUUUGAUCCCUCAAGCAGAAUAAUUCUUUAGUCAAAGUAUACUCCGACCGCAAAUGAAUGAAUUUGUCUCCUGGCUCACCAAUUAGUGUCUGGCGAGUGUAAUUAAUGUAACUGGAUUUCCUAGAAUCUGAUCACACUGGGGCAAAUUGAACUUGA